rnacentral:rRNA from 1 species
AUUGAACGCAGGCGGCAUGCCUUACACAUGCAAGUCGAACGGCAGCAUGGAGAGGUUGCUCUCUGAUGGCGAGUGGCGAACGGGUGAGUAAUGCAUCGGAACGUACCGUGUAAUGGGGGAUAACGUAGCGAAAGUUACGCUGAUACCGCAUACGACCCGAGGGUGAAAGCAGGGGAUCGCAAGACCUUGCGUUAUACGAGCGGCCGAUGUCAGAUUAGCUAGUUGGUGAGGUAAAGGCUCACCAAGGCGACGCUCUGUAGCGGGUCUGAGAGGGUUAUCCGCCACACUGGGACUGAGACACGGCCCAGACUCCUACGGGAGGCAGCAGUGGGGAAUUUUGGACAAUGGGGGCAACCCUGAUCCAGCCAUGCCGCGUGAGUGAAGAAGGCCUUCGGGUUGUAAAGCUCUUUCGGCCGGGAAGAAAUCGCACAGGCUAAUACUCUGUGUGGAUGACGGUACCGGCAUAAGAAGCACCGGCUAACUACGUGCCAGCAGCCGCCGUAA